AUUGAACGCUGGCGGCAGGCCUAACACAUGCAAGUCGAGCGGAUGAAGGGAGCUUGCUCCUGGAUUCAGCGGCGGACGGGUGAGUAAUGCCUAGGAAUCUGCCUGGUAGUGGGGGAUAACGUCCGGAAACGGGCGCUAAUACCGCAUACGUCCUGAGGGAGAAAGUGGGGGAUCUUCGGACCUCACGCUAUCAGAUGAGCCUAGGUCGGAUUAGCUAGUUGGUGGGGUAAAGGCCUACCAAGGCGACGAUCCGUAACUGGUCUGAGAGGAUGAUCAGUCACACUGGAACUGAGACACGGUCCAGACUCCUACGGGAGGCAGCAGUGGGGAAUAUUGGACAAUGGGCGAAAGCCUGAUCCAGCCAGGCCGCGUGUGUGAAGAAGGUCUUCGGAGUGUAAAGCACUUUAAGUUGGGAGGAAGGGCAGUAAGUUAAUACCUUGCUGUUUUGACGUUACCAACAGAAUAAGCACCGGCUAACUUCGUG
rnacentral:rRNA from 1 species